rnacentral:siRNA from 1 species
ACGCGUAGUGGUGAUAAUGGUGAA